rnacentral:lncRNA from 9 species
GAGGCAGACAGGAAUAACUACAAGACAGUGUGAAAGCUGCUGUCUUGAAGACCUGUGCAAGGAACAGCCAGGUCUUGCUUACUCCUGCCUUGGGAAGUCCUUCCCAAUGUCUAACCAAGAUCUGUACCGCUGAAGUACCAGUUCUUUGACCCUCGGCUUGACAUGGCUAAUUUGAGAGGCACAGGGAGGAACUGACCUUGAUUUGGCACCUGCUUGCUUGUUCCUGAAAACUGAGUGAUACUGUCGCCACUACACAAAGACAUAAUCAGAGCCCCAAGUCACAGGACUGACCAAAAAGAAGAACCUACUUCACCCACUUGUCCUGGGUUCCCUCUGAGACGCUGUCUUGAUUGACUGAAAGAUGAGGCUAAACUCUAGCAAGUUGAGUGGCUCCUCCCAGAAUCCUUUAAGCAGGAUAGAAGUGGGGAGGCCCCAGCCUCCAGCCUGGGCAGCCCGUUAGACUGGAGCCGCCUGGCAAAGACUUUAUUUCAUCAUUGCUCCAGUGUCUGCAAGCUGUCCAUCCUGGCCAGCCCUGGUUUCCCCUGUGUCGUCUGAACUGAGAAUCUUCUGAGAUGGAAGUCCCAUCUCAUGCCUAAUAAAGACUCUCAAAUAUUGAAC